UAUCCCUACGGGACGCAGCAGUGAGGGAUAUUGGUCAAUGGGCGGAAGCCUGAACCAGCCAAGUCGCGUGAGGGAAGAAGGCCCUGCGGGUCGCAGACCUCUUUGGACGGGGAGCAAGGCCGCCGACGUGUCGGCGGAAGGAGAGUACCCGUAGAACAAGCAUCGGCUAACUCCGUGCCAGCAGCCGCGGUAAUACGGAGGAUGCGAGCGCUAUCCGGAUUUAUUGGGUUUAAAGGGUGCGCAGGCGGCACGGCACGCCGGCGGUCAAAUCGCGGGGCUCAACCCCGCCCAGCCGUCGUAACUGC
rnacentral:rRNA from 1 species